GGGUGCGAUCAUACCAAUACUAAUGCACCGGAUCCCAUCAAAACUCCGAAAUUAAGCAUGCUUGGGCAAGAGUUGUACUUGGAUGGGUGACCCCUUGGGAAGUUCUCGUGUUGCACCCC